UACGGAGGAUCCAAGCGUUAUCCGGAUUCACUGGGUUUAAAGGGUGCGUAGGUGGAAUGACAAGUCAGUGGUGAAAACCUGCAGCUUAACUGUAGAACUGCCAUUGAUACUGUUGUUCUUGAGUACAUUUGAUGUGAGCGGAAUGCGUCGUGUAGCGGUGAAAUGCUUAGAUAUGACACAGAACACCAAUUGCGAAGGCAGCUCACAAAACUGUAACUGACACUGAGGCACGAAAGCGUGGGGAUCAAACAGG
rnacentral:rRNA from 1 species